AGCUCGCGUUGAUUACGUCCCUGCCCUUUGUACACACCGCCCGUCGCUACUAUCGAUUGAGCGGUUCAGUGAGGGCCUCGGAUUGGUCUCGGUCUGGCGUGUGAGCGCCGGCACCGUUGGCCGAGAAGACGCUCGAACUCGAUCGCUUGGAGAAAGUAAAAGUCGUAACAAGGUUUCCGUAGGUGAACCUGCGGAAGGAUCAUUA
rnacentral:rRNA from 1 species